CCACCAUGCAUGCUUGUCCCUUGUAGUGACAUCUCCAUUGUCUUGAGACCUUAACCAACCAUGCAUGUUUGUCUCUUAGUGAUAUGUCCAUUGUGUUGAGACCUUAACCCAACAUCUUGUUUCUUAUUUCUUCAUUUUUACACUCACCUCAUCUUGGUUCACCGUCACAUCACUGACAAAGCGUGGAGAUAGCUCCGGUGCUCUCCAACGGUGAUUCUCCAGCGACAGUGGCUCUCCUCCAAUGACAGUGGCCGGUGGUGGUUGAAGAAGGUGGAUGCGUCACGUCUUCUCCGAUGGCCAAGCACACGAGCUCAAUUAAAAGGAUUAGAGAUCAAGAAAGAGAUAUCAUGGGAGAUCAAAGAAGCUUGGAUGGAGGAGGCGGCUGCCUUGAGAGGAAGAAGAUGAUACAUAUAUAUUAUUAGGUAAUAUAUAAUAGCCCAUACACACGGGAGGAAGUAAGAAGGUCGUUACAAGUAUGUGGAGAAUGAAUUCUCUAACCGGAACAAGAGAUAUUACUUCCCAACAAAGAUAUGUUCCCAUAGCAGAUAACACUUGAUGACUUCAUCUUGGCAUUUUGGGAUUCUCAGGUCCAGAGCCUUUUCUCGUCUCCGUGGCCAAAACCUUGUCUUGAUCCCUCUUGCAGAUCUGAUAAACCAUAACCCUGCAAUAACUACAGAAGAUUCGGCAUAUAAGAUCAAAGGAGGUGGCCUGUUCUCUAGAGAUCUCUUUUUUUCCCUUGAAAUCCCCCGUUUUUGUUCAAGCAGGUAUACAUUCAGUCAGGGCCGGCCGAAAAGGGGGAGAAGCGGUGCGACCGCCCCGGACUCAAGCCCAUGUCCCCUCAUAUAUUAAUAGUUAAGGCGUCUAAUUUUUUUUUAUAA